rnacentral:rRNA from 1 species
UCCUCCCUCUGGCGGCGUGCUUAACACAUGCAAGUCGAACGGAAAGGCUCCAGCUUGCUGGAGUACUCGAGUGGCGAACGGGUGAGUAACACGUGGGUAAUCUGCCCUGCACUCUGGGAUAAGCCUGGGAAACUGGGUCUAAUACUGGAUAUGACCUUUCUCCUUAUGGGGUUUGGUGGAAAGUUUUUCGGUGUAGGAUGAGCCCGCGGCCUAUCAGCUUGUUGGUGGGGUGAUGGCCUACCAAGGCGACGACGGGUAGCCGGCCCGAGAGGGUGAUCGGCCACAUUGGGACUGAGAUACGGCCCAGACUCCUACGGGAGGCAGCAGUGGGGAAUAUUGCACAAUGGGCGGAAGCCUGAUGCAGCGACGCCGCGUGAGGGAUGACGGCCUUCGGGUUGUAAACCUCUUUCAGCAGGGACGAAGCGUAAGUGACGGUACCUGCAGAAGAAGCACCGGCUAACUACGUG